CCAAUAGCGUAUAUUAAAGUUGUUGCAGUUAAAAAGCUCGUAGUUGAAUUUCGGAAUCAGUAUGUCGGUCGUGCCUUCGGUACGUACUGGUGUCACUGGUUCCUCCCUUCUGACGAACCAUCAUGCCAUUCACUUGGUGUGGUGGGAAAUCAGGACUGUUACUUUGAAAAAAUUAGAGUGUUUAAAGCAGGCUCGCGCUUGAAUACAUUAGCAUGGAAUAAUGAAAUAGGACGUUAAUCCUAUUUUGUUGGUUUCUAGGAUCGACGUAAUGAUUAAUAGGGAUAGUUGGGGGCAUUAGUAUUCAAUUGUCAGAGGUGAAAUUCUUGGAUUUAUUGAAGACUAACUACUGCGAAAGCAUUUGCCAAGGAUGUUUUCAUUAAUCAAGAACGAAAGUUAGGGGAUCGAAGACGAUCAGAUACCGUCGUAGUCUUAACCAUAAACUAUGCCGACUAGGGAUCGGAUGAUGUUAAUUUUUUAAUGACUCAUUCGGCGCCUUACG
rnacentral:rRNA from 1 species